rnacentral:lncRNA from 1 species
CAGCAAACAUGGCCGCCUUCGUGAAGCUCAGUACCAAAGCCAAGAUGCCCAUUGUGGGCCUGGGCACCUGGAAGUCUCCCCCAGAUAAAGUCAAGGAAGCUGUGAAGGCAGCCAUUGAUGCUGGAUAUCGCCACUUUGACUGUGCCUAUGUGUAUCAGAACGAGAGUGAGGUGGGAGAAGCCAUCCAAGAGAAGAUCAAAGAGAAGGCUGUGAGGAGGGAGGACCUCUUCAUCGUCAGCAAGGUACAAUGACUUGGUGGACAUGACUUCAAGCUGUGGCCCACCUUCUUUGAGAAAAGCCUGGUGAAGAAAGCCUUCCAGAAAACCCUCUUGGAUCUGAAGCUGGACUAUCUGGACCUGUAUCUAAUUCACU